rnacentral:rRNA from 1 species
CCUACGGGAGACUGCAGUGAGGAAUAUUGGUCAAUGGACGAGAGUCUGAACCAGCCAAGUAGCGUGAAGGCUGACUACCCUAUGGGUUGUAAACUUCUUUUAUAUGGGAAUAAAAUGUUCCACGUGUGGGAUUUUGUAUGUCCCAUAUGAAUAAGGAUCGGCUACCUCCGUGCCAGCAGCCGCGGUAAUACGGAGGAUCCGAGCGUUAUCCGGAUUUAUUGGGUUUAAAGGGAGCGUAGGUGGAUUGUUAAGUCAGUUGUGAAAGUUUGCGGCUCAACCGUAAAAUUGCAGUUGAAACUGGCAGUCUUGAGUACAGUAGAGGUGGGCGGAAUUCGUGGUGUAGCGGUGAAAUGCUUAGAUAUCACGAAGAACUCCGAUGGCGAAGGCAGCUCACUGGACUGCAACUGACACUGAGGCUCGAAAGUGUGGGGAUCAAACAGGAUUAGAUACCCCUGUAGUC